rnacentral:lncRNA from 1 species
GUCCCUCUAGUUCGCGUUAGGCACACUGCAGACUCCGCCUUCUCCAGUCUGCGGUGCUGGCUGUGGCUUACUUUUCUCUCCUCAAAGCGACAGUUAGGAAGUGGAGAGGCAUUCUAUGAGUGUUCUCGUCGGUUCUGUUUUGGAAGCUUCAGAAUCUUCUCGGGUUGGCUCAGAUUGCUGCAAAAUAAAAGCUGUACUUCUUGGGGCCAGAGAGGCACCGUCCUUCGGGGGACUCUGGCCCGCGUCCUGGCUCCGCCCCGUACUGGCCUCGGACCUCGGGGAGCGUUUUUAUCUGAAGUUUCCACGUCGGAAAGGGAUCGUAGUCUACCGAGAGCUGUUCCGAGCCCAGAGGAGAAAUUGUGUGGUGCUAAAUAGCUAUUCAUCUCCCUUAUACCGGAAAGCGUUGUAAUGAUAAGCCGACCUAACCUGUUGGGGAUUUUUUCUGGAAACCUUUUAAGACAGUUCAUGUUAUUGAGUUCUGAAUAUUAGGCUAUAUUGCAAGGGGCUUUUUAAAAUCCACGUAGCAACCCUAUGAAAUCAGAAAUUGCCCUCGUUUUACAAAUGAGUUAAAUGAGACCAAGUAAAAGGUUAAACAGCUUGUCUAGUAAGCUGGGAUUUGUUCCCAGGCGGUCUAGCUCCAGAUUGCAUGCUUUUAAAUACUAGGCUUCAUGCAUAGAAUCUAGUAUUAUUAGCCGAUCCUAUUAUUAGUAUGUAUUGUUCUUUAGGAAGAAAAAACGUGUCAGGAUUGCUCACGUUUCCAAGCACGUUGAUACUUAAGAGUUAGGAAGGGCUUAACUCCGAAUGGGUAUGGUGUUACCCUAAGUGAGGUUCAAAAAGAUGGUGUGGGCAACAAUGCUAUUUUGGAAUGGCUUGAUCCUUUUGGGCUUCCAUAACAAAAUAUCCUAGACUGGGUAGUUUAUGAACCACAGAAGUUUAUUCUUCACAUUUCUGAAGGCUGGAAUGUCACAGAAUAAGGUGUGUCUAGGGAGGGGUGCUUUCUCUUUAGUGGAUAGCACCUUCUGGCUCUGUCCUCGCAUGGUGGAGAGGCAGAGGCCCUCGCUUGGGCCUAUUUUAUAAGGACCUUAAUCCCAUUCCUCACUUCCCAAGAUGCCACUUGCUAAAACCGUCAGUUCGGGAGUUAGGAUUUCAAAAUGUGCAUUUUGAGGGACACAUUUAGACCAUAGCGUAGGUCAUGUUUUUAAAGUUGCUUUCUUGGCCCUGGAAUGGCAAUGCAGUCAUCUGAAUUGGUCUUAACCUACCAGGAAUGGGCUUAUAUUUUGAAAAUAUUUCUCGAUAAGGGAGUAAAAUAAGUUGUAUGGGUUUUUUGUUUAAGAAAGGAUUCCUUUGUUUACUCUGGUAUGCUUAUCCACUUCUGUGAUGUCAACCAUGGGUAGUGACCUAACAUUAAUUUAAUUCAACAGAUAUCUUUGUCUGCCUUGAUUCCUGCAUCCCCUGGGCUCCACAGCUAUUCACUUGUAUUGAUUCUGUUAACUCUUACACAUUAACUUUGAGCUGUGUCUCCUUCCUUUUAUCAUUUUGUGAGUAAAGAAUUUUAAUUUGCCAACAAAUCCUAAUGUGGACUUUGUCACGUUGUGAAAUAAAGUGAUUUUUUGGUAUGGAAAUAUGUGUUAAGACAGACUGUUAGUCUUUGCACUUUAACAACUAGCUGAUACACUUACGUCACAUGGAUGAAAACAUACACAAGUGCACUGUUGUUGGAUAAGGACUCCUGGGUGGUUAGAAGAAUGUGCAGAUCUAACUACUCCCAUUAAGACCAUUGAUUAAAAUGAAAAAUGCUUAUAAAGGUGGAGAUCUCUCAGUUUUAGUCUUAUUGCGUGCCAGAAGCACUAAGGAAUUGCUGCUAAAUAUAAGACAAAUGGACUUGAGGAAAUCACUGAUGACUAACUUGAAACUCUGCCUCCUGAGAUCACACAGGUGAGUGGAAAAAACCAAGGCACAAAGCCAGUGAAGCCCCCUAAUUUGGAGAUGUGAGGGGUAGAAACAGAGAGUAUAGGGUAGAUGCAGUGUACAGAAAACACUGUUCUUGCUUCAUCACCAUGGAUUAAAAUCGUUUGAAAGCUUCAACGCUAGCGGGCAGUGUUUCAAGCAGAAAUCUGGCAGCUAGUGGAGUCUGAGUCCUUAUAUGGAAGGCAUCAUCAGUACCAGCAAGGACACACAUACAGCCACAAAGCAAGACCUAGGAGAAAUAUUUGGUGCUCUACUCUCCUAGGGAACUGGAAGGAACCUGCUCUCUCCUGGGUAUACUUUUCUAAUUUUAGAGUGCUAAAGAAGCUCUUCUCACAGGGACCCGAGUGAAUCCUUUCUCCUUGGAACAAAGGACAAGAAAAAAAGAAAGGACUUUACCGCAGAAAUGAUGAAGAUCAUGUCUCCAAGUCUUUUCUGCCGUUGCCAGUAUUCUCUCCCAAUCUCCUGUGGGCAACUUCUUCGGGAAAACACUCAUGCAAUUUCAUAAGGACAAGCGAAAAUAUGAAGAAGCUGGAUCUUGGAACUAGGCUUUGAUCACAGAGCGGAGCUGAGAUGAAAGUCCAUCCACUCAUUCAACAAAUAAUUGAGUACUUACAAAAAUUUCUGCUGUAUGGAGCUUAUAUAGUAGUGAAUAUCAAUUCUUAUUUUAUGGAUUAUAAAACAGAACUUUUUGCAACAAUUUUACACUACCCUAGGGGUACCUAUGAGUCUUCAUGCCUCAAGUAAUUGUCCUGUCCAUGUGACUAUGGAAGCCCUGAAAUCUUUGAAACCCCAGAUGACCCAUUUCACCAGACGCUUGGACAUUCUCCGUCGAGUUUGGAUUUAUAGUGGGUACCCAGAUUUAGGUCAAGGACAUAAAAUCUGAACCACUUUAGGCACUGCUCAUAAGGAGUAAAUUCCUAGUGAAAAAGCAAUGUCCCUCAGGAAUGAUUGCUAUAGCAGGCUAAAAGGUAGAUUUAUAAAUGUUUAUAAAAAGCAGAUUGGAUUUAGCAGAGGUAGCAGUGAUGACCAGGAGCAAUAGGAGGAAAUGUUCUUAAUAGUGCUGUUUGGUGGCAUCUUCUUUUUAUACAAAGAAGUCUUGCAAGCAUUUCUACUUGAAUGACUAAUUUGGAGUAAUUUUUAGUUUCUGUAUUUUUAUUAGUUAAUAGGAUCUAGGAAUAUAAUAACCUGGUGAGAAUUUCUUCGUGAAUGGCAAUCAAAUUUGUCUUAUUCAUGAAACUCAUAAAUAAGCUAUAAUCCAGCAUUUUAUAACUAGGGAAAAUAAAACUGGGGUCCUGCUGUUUAAGAGGCUAAGGCAAUUUAACAGAACACUGGGGGAUUUAUAGUAGAUUUAUGAUGAAGAUACAUUCUAACUGGAAGCUUAAUUGUGAUUUAAAUUAUAGGUCAAGCUGAGCAAUGUGUUUUCUUUUUAGGGGGAAAUCUUUAGAGAGUUAGAGUGUGCUUGUUUAAAGAGGAAACAGACCAAAUGAGAAAACAGAUUGCAUUUUCUGUUUUUCUUUUAAAAUUUCAAGCUGCUUUAAGUCAAAUUGCCCCUGAGUUCCUGAUGAUGGCUGUGGUGAAAUUGCCUUGUUUUACUUUCUUGCCUUCUUUUCCAGAGCAGUUAUUUUACCUGAAAAUAACAAAAAGAUAUAGGCAGCAUAUCAGCCAGAAAACUAAUAUGGAAACCAGAGAUAAAGUAUACUCAACCUGCCUAGAAUUGUGACAUCCUAUAAUUUUAGGCUGAGUUGUAUAAAAUUAGCAAGUAAUAUGGAUGAAAGGGCCUUUGAAAAAUUUUUGCCACUCAUUUUGCAAAUGGGAAAAUUGAGGCUUCUAGUGGUUUUCCUAAAUUUUUUAUCUCAAGUACUUUAAGGUCUCAUGAGGAAAUAAAAUUUAUGUACAAAUAAUUUUAAUUAAAAGUAUAAAAAGUUGUUUCCCUGAAAAAUAAAACUUAAAACAGAUAACAAAAGGUUGAUUCUGUAAGGAGGAUUUCUAUUGGGAAAAGGACAGUUAGAUUUGACAGCCCAGAUGCUUACUCUCUAACAUUUCCCUACCCCUUGGCAGAAUCCUUCAAUAAUUAACACCAGGACAACCACAUAGACUUCAGCCAUGGGUGUGUCAGGGGCAUUUGAACCAGAGCAACUCCAUCUUGAAUAGGGUCUGGGCAAAGUGAGGCUGAGACCCACUGGGCUGCAUUCCCAGGAGGUUAGGCAUUCUUAGUUACAGGAUGAGAUAGGAGGUUGGCACAAGAUACAGGUCACAAAGACCUUACUGAUAAAAUAAUAUGGUACAGAAGCUGGCCAAAACCCACCAAAACCAAGAUGGUGACGAAAGUAACCUCUGGUAGUCUUCACUGCUCAUUAUGUGCUAAUUAUAAUGCAUUAGCAUGCUAAAAGACACUCCUACCAGUGCCAUGACAGUUUACAAAUGCCAUAGCAAUGUCAGGAAGUUAUACUAUAUGGUCUAAAAAGAGGAGGAACUCUCAGUUCUGGGAAUUGCCCACCUCUUUCCUGGAAAACUCAGGAAUAAUACACCCCUUGUUUAGCAUAUAAUCAAAUAACUAUAAGUAUAAUCAGUCAAGCAGCCUAUGCCACUGCUCUGUCUAUGGAGUAGCCAUUCUUCUAUUCCUUUACUUUCCUAAUAAACUUGCUUUCACUUUACUCUGUGGACUCACCCCAAAUUCUUUCUUGCAUGAGGUCCAAGAACCCUCACUUAAAGUCUUGAUCAGGACCCUUUUCUGGUAACAUCUUCCUGGUGACCACAAUGAGAUUAAACUAAGGAGACUCCCUACCCAAAAGAAAUAGAUUAGAUCACCAAUUGUAUGACUUUGGGUAAGUGAUAGGAACCAUUUUACCUGGUUAAAGGAUGGAAUUGGGUUAGAGGCCCAACUUAGGAGAGUUAGAGCCUCUCCUAAGACAGAGAGCUUAAAGGCCCCUCUUAAUAAAAGGCAAGGACGCUUGAUGGAACUUAGGUUCAAGGCCCAAACUAGGAAGGUUAGAGUCCUUCCUAAGAUUAAGGGGGUUAGAAGCUCCUCUCAGUAAAGUCCUUCUUGGUUAAAAAUGGAUUUCACAUUAUGGGAUAUUAACCAUUAUUCUCUUUGUAUUAAUCUGCCUUGCACUGUUUGCUGAUGUCUGUGGGUGACAGGAUUAGGUGUAUAUAGGAUCACUGGAUAUGGGGAGCAUUUUCUCCCUAAAGGGGAAAUUUGAGAGCUGAUGAGACAAUUGGCCACCUGAACUUUAGAUUCAGUGUUGCUGCAAUGGAUCGGUCUUGUCUGGCCUCCCUGAGCUCCUCAUUUUCCUCACCCUGCUGCAGGCAAUGCUUUUCUCCCUUUCUUUCUUUCCUUUCUCUUUUCUAUCUUUUCUGUUACUCAGGGCAACUGUCUACGGUUUCAGUUUGCCCAGAAACCACAUGUGGAAACUCCUGGUCAGAAGAUCAUUCCACACCAAUUUGAGUGGAUCAAAGAUGAAAAGGCCCAACUAGAAUCAUGUUUGAGCCUUCCCAGUUUGAUACUGGGUGCUAAGCAGAGUGGCUAAUGUCUAUGUUUUGUCACAUUUAUUUUGCUCUGGCUGGUUUGGAAGAUGUUAAUUGGGUUACCCCAUGCAAUCUCUUGGGUGACAUCUUGCAAAAUUGAGAGGCUUUUGCCUAUGGUUUCAUGAAAUGGAAAAAGGUGAUUUUCCUUUGUGUUGUGGUUUGGCCCCUAGGGCUAUGGUGCCACAAGACAGGUCACUAGGGCUGCUCAGGGAAAGGGAACCCAGAAGCCUGGCAUGCCAGCAAAAGGGUAAGAAUUUCUUACCAUUCAGACUUCUGGCCUCUCUGUGCAAACGAGUUAUAGGAAUGGUAAACAUCCCUCUUUAUUCCUGUGUAAAGUUUUAAUUAAUAGGAAAAAGAAUUUUCCCAUUAAGUUAGUCUUAAGCUGUAGUGAAUUUGCUGUACUUUGUGCUAUAAAUUUGUCUUUCCAGAUUGUUCUGUCAGAAGGAGGGUUACCUUAGGAUAGAAUACAGGCUUAAGCCCCCAUUUGGUGGUUAAUACUGAGUAUCAAAUUGAUUGGAUUGAAGGAUGCAAAGUAUUGUUCCUGGGUGUGUCUGUGAGGGUGCUGCCAAAGGAGAUUAACAUUUGAGUUGGUGGACUGGGAGAGGCUGACCCACCCUCAAUCUGGAUGGGUACCAUCUAUUCAGCUGCCAGCUUGGCUAGGAUAAAAGCAGGCAGAGAAAUGUGGAAAGACUAAACUGGCUGAGUCUUCUGGCCUCCAUGUUUCUCCCAUGCUGGAUGCUUCCUGGCCUUGAACAUCAGACUCCAAGUUCUUUAGUUUAGGAUUCUUGGACUUAAACCAAUGAUUUGCCAGUGGCUCUUGGGUCUUCAGCUACAGACUGAAGGCUGCACUAUUAGCUUCCCUACUUUUCAGGUUUUAGGACUGGGACUGGCUUCCUGGCCUCUCAGCUUGCAGAUGGCCUAUUGUGGGACUUCACCUUGUAAUCAUGUGAGACAAUUCUCCUAAUAAAUUUCCCAUUCAUUUAUUCAUCUAUCUGCUAGUUCUGUCCCUUCAGAGAACCCUGACUAAUACACCCUAUAAGACUGCUGUUCAAGACAGCCCAUCAAACUGGUCACUUACAAACUUUGCUUCAGAUCCCUGAAACAAAACAAAACAAAACAAAAACAAAACUGAAGUUCCCCUCUUGUCUUGUUUUAUGUUCUUGGGAGCUUGACCUUAUAACCAUGUGGCAGUACUUCCUCUUUGUCUCUGCCAUUCAGAGAACAGGAACUUUGGGGUUCAUAUCAUAGUUAGCCCUAAAAAUUAUAUUGAGCAGUUAAAAGGCUUUGCAAGCUCAAAAUUGGCUGCUCUAGACUCCUUCUGGGAAGGGCAAUGGAGACUGCCCAGUGCCGUAGAACAACUUCUGACUUCCUUUCUUGAAUUUUCCUUUUUCUGAGUACCUGGGAGGUUACCUUUGGUAAAGUUCAAAAGCUACAAGUAUUUGCUGUUUUGCCUGGCUAGAGUCUGAUAAUGAGAUUUUUUUUUUUUAAAAGAAUGCUAUGGUUAAAAGUCAGCUUAAUUAAAAGUGGAUAUUCAAGCUCUAACAGCCUGGGACUCCUUGGGAAAAACAGGAGGCACUACAGACCCUGUUUGAGGAAAAACCUCUGCUUUCUUCAUGAAAACCCAGAAAUUGAAAUCAGAUAGAUCCCUCUCAAAAUCUAAGGCUCUCCUCUGUUUUGCACUGUGAUGUCUGACAGUAUUGACUUUUAGGGGUAUCAGAAAUUACUUUGCAUUAUGAGAGAGCUUUGGUGUGUAAUAACUAGGUAGGAAAUAUACUUUUGGGGAUGGCUAAUGGCAGUUAUAGGGAGAUACUUGGCAUUUUGCAUGUUUGGAUUAGAGAAUCAUGUUCUUGGCCACCUAGAAAGUAUGAAAAUGUCCCCAUUCCCCACUGAGAGAUGAGACUCCUAUGGGAGAUGGGUUGAUUCCCUCUUUUUUAAAAUUUAACUUUAAGUUCUGGGAUACAUGUGCAGGAUGUGCAGGUUUGUUACAUAGGUAAGCAUAUGCCAUGGAGGUUUGCUGCACCUAUCAACCUAUCAUCUAGGUAUUAAACCCCACAUGCAUUAGCUAUUUAUCCUGAUGCCCUCCCCGACAGGCCCCAGUGUGUGUUGUUCCCCUCCCUGUAUUCAUGUGUUCUCAUUGUUCAGCUCCCACUUAUAAGUGAGAACAUGUGGUGGUUGGUUUUCUGUUCCUGUGUUAGUUUGCUGAGGAUAAUGGCUUCCAGCUUCAGCCAUGUCCCUGCAAAGGACAUUAUCUCAUUCCUGAUUCCCUCUUUUCUUUGGGGAUCCAGGAUCUAAUAUAAAAAUGAGACCCUUAAUUUUGGGGCUCUGCUUUGCCUUCCAGCUGUGCCUGCUUAUUAGGCCCUGGAAACUGCAUGCUUUCCCAGUCCUGUUCCUCCAAGGGCUCCACCCUAAAGCCAGCAAUCCAAUUAAGAAACUUAAUGGAUUGUAAGCAAAUGGAAAAUCUUCCAAGUACUGGAUUUUCUGUCUGUCUGCAUAUUUACAUGUGUUGUGUGUGUGGUGUUUAUAUAUAAAAGAGCUCUGAUUAAUUGGUUUAAAGAUAAUAGGCAAUUAAAUCAAAUAUUAUCAGAAAAAUAAAAACAAAUGCCUUUUACUUCACGUGACUUUAAUAAUCUUUAGGAAUUAGAGACAGUUUUAAAGAUUAUUGGUAAAAUAAAGACAUUUGGUCUAAAUUGCGCCAGUCAGAUUUAGGUUUGCCAAAUGCUUUAAUAUCAUAAAGUGCUUUUUUAACUUGAUAAUUGUUCAACUUACCUGCUUUGGAGCCAUUAGAUUCCAGGUAAGGCAUGGGAACAUGUGGAGUUAGCCAUGCCCCCGGCUAUGCUGAAAAAGGACCUUAUCUGGACUUAUGUCUAGUGUCUUAGGCUCCACACCUGAUAGAUAAUUAAAAUCCUUACUUACCAGAUUUUUCACCAAAAAUAAAAGUUGCUCAGUUAGCAUUGUAACGUUUAAUUGAGUCUACUGAAUAAGCAGUUUUACAUACAAGGUGUGUAAGGACAGUGACGUGUUUUUGGUAAAAAAUUAUAAGAAGGCAUGGGAAUACGGAUUUUUUUGGCCUAGUUUAGAGGCUUAAAAACUUUUUUCAAGCUAGAUAGAAAAAAGCUGAAGGUUUAAACAAGUUGUGGAAGGUUUGUGAACAAUUAAUCUUAUAAAAGAAAUUCUGUGUGUGAACAUAUUAGCUAAAAUUAAAGGAGGUAUUAUUCAGUUUUUUUCAUAAAUUGAACAUUGGAAUAAAAGCACAACAGGGUUUUCUUAGAGCAGUGAUCUACUCUUUAAGAAAAAAUUGUAAAGGGUUAUAAAAGGUUUAUGAGAAUCUUACCUUAUGAUCUAACUGAUUAAGAUUGGAUAGAUUAGUCUAUAAGGUUUUUUUUUUAAGAAUUAGGUUUGGCAUCAAUACUGCAUUAAUGCAAAGGUGAAAUUUGGCUUUCUCUGUUGAACAAGGUUUUCAUGUUAUAUUAAAAAAUACGAAAAUGUUUUUGUUUGCCUUUUAAAUAAACUAUAAGAAAAAGAAGGGAAAGGAAAGAGUCAGAUUGUUUGGAAAGCUAAGUCUUCCCUCUAUUAAGAAGUAAAAGAUGUAUUUGUGUAAAUAUGUUUUAGGUAUGUGUUCCAAAAUUAUGGGAAACUCCUAUAAUUCUGAUAUGAUUUAGUGGAUGUUAUUAAUAGUCAUAAUUAUUAUGUAAAAUUGUUGUAUGCCACAGAAGUAACCAAAAUUUUCUUGUCAAUUGUGGCUUUAAUAGUGGCUGUUCUAAGACUUUUUGUCAACCAUGGACAAUUGCUGUCUUAUUUUGAUCCCCUUCAAAAGGUGGUUUAUAAUCAGCUAUAAGACUUUGACAGGUGCUCUUGAAUGCAGGUUUCUGAUAACUUUGGAGACUGUGACAUUAUAAUAGAGGAAAAACUUUCAGAACUCUCAUGGAGGGCUGAACUGUUCAUGAAUAUCAAGCAGAACAGGCGUUAAUUGCAUGGACUGAACUAAUAGAAGCCUAAAGUAAUCUUUUUUGGCUUUUGGCUUAAAACAUUGCUGAUCCUUUGUUUUGUUUCUCAGAGCCAAGAAACUUUUCUUUUGAGCUAUUUACAACUUUUAAGAAUUGAGUAAAGUAUUGAUAUGGUUUGGCUGUGUCCCCACCCAAAUCUCAUCUUGAAUUGUAGCUCCCAUAAUCCCCAUGUGUCAUGGGAGGGACCCAUUGGGAGGCAAUUGAAUCACGGGGAUGGGUUUUUCCCGUGCUGUUCUCAUGAUAGUAAGUCUCAUGAGACCUGAUGGUUUUAUAAAGGGCAGUUCCCCUGCACAUGCUCUCUUGCCUGGCACCAUGUAAGACAUGCCUUUGCUCCUCCUUCACCUUCUGCCAUGAUUGUGAGGCCUCCCCAGCCAUGUGGGAAGGGGACUGUAAGUCCAUUAAACCUCUUUUUCUUUAUAAAUUACUCAGUCUCAGGUAUUUCUUCAUAGCAGUAUGAAAACGGACUAAUACAAUUAUACUUCUGUGAACAAAAUUUGGAGCAUAUUUGUUUCUUGCUACCUGAUUUUUCCAGAAUUUGGAAACCAUUUGUGAGUAUUCUUAACUUAUGAUAACAUAGUUAUUUGCAUAAGUGCAAUAAGAAUCUGUUUUCUUUUGUAACAGGACACAAUUGGAGAAAGUGAUUAUUUUACUAAGGCUUUGACUGGAAUGGCAUGCUUAACCUUUAGAACCAGUAAAGGCCCCUUGGGAAAACUGGCCUCAUAGCUUGUCUAUGAAGUCCCUGUACAGAGUUCUUGACCUGUGGUAUGUAAAGAAUGUAAUUUUCUGACAGACCCAGGAGCCCCAGGUUAUCUUGAGACCUCAAGAGGAGCCAACUCACAUAGAUGCCACAUUUUGUUGGAACUCAGAGUUAUGAGUGGCCCUCGCCAUACCUACACUUUCUGACUGAGCUCCUCUCUACCCUGAAUACAAGAGACCCUAAUAGGCAGGAAUAUCAUCACCCCUCUUCAGCCUGAAGAUGUUACAGAAGAUGGAUAUUUGUCCGUUUACAACCCUUAAGAUUAAGGGUUCCCCUGUAAAAGGGAGGGGGAAAAUAUGUCAGAGAUGUUUGAACCAGAGCAACUUCGUCCUGAAUAGUGGCUCGGUAAAGUGAGGCUGACACCUAUGGACUGCAUUCCCAGGAGGUUAGGCAUUCUUAGUUACGGGAUGAAAUAGGAGUUUGGCACAAGAUGGGUCAUAAAGACCUUGCUGAUAAAAGGAUGUGGUACAGAAGCUGGCCAAAACUCACCAAAAUCAAGAUGUGAUGAAAGUGACUUCUGGUAGUCCUCACUCCUCAUUACACUAAUUAUAAUGCAUUAGCAUGCUAAAAGACACGUUCACCAGCACCAUUAUGGUUUACAAAUGCCAUGGCAAUAUCAGCAAGUUACCCUAUAUGGUCUUAAAAGGGGAGGAACCCUCAGUUCUGGGAAUUGCCCACCACUUUCCCAGGAAACUCAUGAAUAAUCCACCCUUUAUUUAGCAAAUAAUCAAGAAAUAACUAUAAGUAUAAUCAGUUGAGCAGCCCAUGCCACUGCUCUGCCUGUGGAAUAGCCACUCUUUUAUUCCUUUACUUUUUUAAUAAACUUGUUUUCACUUUAC